AUACGGAGGGUGCAAGCGUUGUUCGGAAUUAUUGGGCGUAAAGAGCAUGUAGGCGGACUAUUAAGUCUGGUGUGAAAGCCCGGGGCUCAACCCCGGAAGUGCAUUGGAUACUGGUAGUCUUGAGUAUGGGAGAGGAAAGUGGAAUUCCGAGUGUAGGAGUGAAAUCCGUAGAUAUUCGGAGGAACACCAGUGGCGAAGGCGGCUUUCUGGACCAAUACUGACGCUGAGAUGCGAAAGCGUGGGGAGCGAACAGGAUUAGAUACCCCGGUAGUCC
rnacentral:rRNA from 1 species